rnacentral:lncRNA from 1 species
UAUUGGGCCUCAAAAUAUUGAAUUUAUAUUAGAAAAUUCAUAAUAAGGUUUCAUCAAUAACUUAGUAAUAAGAUUUAUAGUCUAACAUUGUGAAAUUACAAGAAAUCAUAGUUAAACAUCACCUGGAUUUUGAAUAAUAAAAGAAGAAGAUGAUGAUAAAUCUUGAAAUUUUAAAUCUCUUCAAUGAUCUCUUGAUGAAUUCCAACUGUGCAUCCCCUUCGUUACCCAAAAAUCAAACUUUGAUCUCCAAUGGAUGAAAAUCUUGCAAUUGCCUCUUGAUUUGCCCAAAAGUGUGUUGAUUUUGUCCUCUCUUUGAUGGAUAAAUUAUGAAGCAAAUUAGGCAAACUACCCCGAAACUCUCACUUUUGUUUACG